GGCUCAGAACGAACGCUGGCGGCGUGCUUAACACAUGCAAGUCGAGUGCGCGGUUGUAGCAAUACAACUGGCGCACGGCGCACGGGUGCGUAACACGUGGGUAACCUGCCCUUUGGUGGGGAAUAACUCCGCGAAAGCGGAGCUAAUUCCGCAUAAGAUCCGCAAGGAUGAAAGCCGCAAGGCGCCGAUGGAGGGGCCCGCGCCCGAUUAGCUUGUUGGUAGGGUAACGGCCUACCAAGGCUUUGAUCGGUAGCUGGUCUGAGAGGAUGGCCAGCCACACUGGAACUGAGACACGGUCCAGACUCCUACGGGAGGCAGCAGUGGGGAAUCUUGCACAAUGGGCGAAAGCCUGAUGCAGCGACGCCGCGUGGGGGAUGAAGCUUCUCGGAGUGUAAACCCCUUUCGAUCCGGACGAAUGCCCGCAAGGGAUUGACGGUACGGAUAUAAGAAGCCCCGGCUAACUACGUGCCAGCAGCCGCGGUAAGACGUAGGGGGCCAGCGUUGUUCGGAAUUACUGGGUGUAAAGGGUUCGUAGGCGGUGUGGCAAGUUGGGAGUGAAAUCUCUGGGCUUAACCCAGAGGCUGCUUCCAAAACUGCUGUGCUUGAGUGUGAGAGAGGCUCGUGGAAUUGCAGGUGUAGCGGUGAAAUGCGUAGAUAUCUGCAGGAACACCCGUGGCGAAAGCGGCGAGCUGGAUCACUACUGACGCUGAGGAACGAAAGCUAGGGGAGCAAACAGGAUUAGAUACCCUGGUAGUCCUAGCCCUAAACGAUCAGGACUUGGGGUGCCACCCGUUCGGGUGUCGUCCCGGAGCUAACGCGUUAAGUCCUGCACCUGGGGAGUACGGUCGCAAGAC
rnacentral:rRNA from 1 species